rnacentral:rRNA from 1 species
UGGGGAAUAUUGCACAAUGGGCGCAAGCCUGAUGCAGCCAUGCCGCGUGUGUGAAGAAGGCCUUCGGGUUGUAAAGCACUUUCAGCGAGGAGGAAGGGUAGUGUGUUAAUAGCACAUUGCAUUGACGUUACUCGCAGAAGAAGCACCGGCUAACUCCGUGCCAGCAGCCGCGGUAAUACGGAGGGUGCAAGCGUUAAUCGGAAUUACUGGGCGUAAAGCGCACGCAGGCGGUUUGUUAAGUCAGAUGUGAAAUCCCCGCGCUUAACGUGGGAACUGCAUUUGAAACUGGCAAGCUAGAGUCUUGUAGAGGGGGGUAGAAUUCCAGGUGUAGCGGUGAAAUGCGUAGAGAUCUGGAGGAAUACCGGUGGCGAAGGCGGCCCCCUGGANAAAGACUGACGCUCAGGUGCGAAAGCGUGGGGAGCAAACAGGAUUAGAGUACCCAUG